UGUAGUCAUAUGCUUGUCUCAAAGAUUAAGCCAUGCAUGUCUAAGUAUAAGCAAUUAUACCGUGAAACUGCGAAUGGCUCAUUAAAUCAGUUAUCGUUUAUUUGAUAAUACCUUACUACUUGGAUAACCGUGGUAAUUCUAGAGCUAAUACAUGCUGAAAAUCCCGACUUCGGAAGGGAUGUGUUUAUUAGAUAAAAAACCAAUGCCCUUCGGGGCUUUUUGGUGAUUCAUGAUAACUUUACGGAUCGCAUAGCCUUGCGCUGGCGACGGUUCAUUCAAAUUUCUGCCCUAUCAACUUUCGAUGGUAAGGUAUUGGCUUACCAUGGUUUCAACGGGUAACGGGGAAUUAGGGUUCGAUUCCGGAGAGGGAGCCUGAGAAACGGCUACCACAUCCAAGGAAGGCAGCAGGCGCGCAAAUUACCCAAUCCCGACACGGGGAGGUAGUGACAAUAAAUACUGAUACAGGGCUCUUUUGGGUCUUGUAAUUGGAAUGAGUACAAUUUAAACCUCUUAACGAGGAACAAUUGGAGGGCAAGUCUGGUAAUCG
rnacentral:rRNA from 1 species